UCCUCCAACGGCAGCAGCUCCUCCUCCACAGUUCCUCCCUCUCAGCUGCUCCCUUUGCUCUUCGCAGCUCCUCAACCGAAUCGGAGCCUCCAGUAGCAGCCCGAAACAGCGGCGCCCACGGAUCUCCGAUCUGUCCGCCUCCGGUCUCCAGCACUCCUCCACAACCACCGGAUCUAUCACCUGGAGAAGGAGAGAACAAUGAAAUGAAAACAGAAAAGACAGGAGAAUAGAUCUAAAAAGGAAACAGAUCUGGGAACAUUGCUGUUUGCGUUUCUUGGUGUUUUGCAGGUGACGUUGUUCUCACCGCCGGUGAGGAAAGGAGGGGGAGAAGAGGCUGAGACAGAUCGCAC
rnacentral:lncRNA from 1 species